UCCUGGCUCAGAUUGAACGCUGGCGGCAUGCCUUACACAUGCAAGUCGAACGGCAGCGCGGGCAACCUGGCGGCGAGUGGCGAACGGGUGAGUAAUAUAUCGGAACAUACCCUAGAGUGGGGGAUAACGUAGCGAAAGUUACGCUAAUACCGCAUACGCACUAAGGUGGAAAGUGGGGGAUUCGCAAGAACCUCAUGCUCAUGGAGUGGCCGAUAUCUGAUUAGCUAGUUGGUGAGGUAAAGGCUCACCAAGGCGACGAUCAGUAGCUGGUUUGAGAGAACGACCAGCCACACUGGAACUGAGACACGGUCCAGACUCCUACGGGAGGCAGCAGUGGGGAAUUUUGGACAAUGGGGGCAACCCUGAUCCAGCAAUGCCGCGUGAGUGAAGAAGGCCUUCGGGUUGUAAAGCUCUUUUGUCAGGGAAGAAACGGUGAGUUCUAAUAAAGCUUGCUAAUGACGGUACCUGAAGAAUAAGCACCGGCUAACUACGUG
rnacentral:rRNA from 1 species